UCAAAACCUUUCUUUUAAAGCCGAUAAAAUCUGUUACCUUACAACCCAUACAAAAACACAACUCCAAACAGAAGGUCAAGGUUUCAAAUUUCUUAAGGGCGCCUUUCUAUGGUUUUCCGAUGAUCACCAUAAAACCCAUACCAAACACAACCCCAGACAGAAGGUCAUGGUUUCAAAUUUCUUAAGGGUGCCUAGCAAGUGGGGACUUCUUUAGAAUUCCUUUGCGAGCAGACAAAUGGAGACACUCUCGUCUGUUUUUGGCGUUGCACGGAAAGAGAAAUAACUCAAGGGGAGAGCAGACGACAGGAAGGUACGCCCGAAGAGGCGAGCACGAGAGAAGCAGCAAGGGAACACGUUCACAAUAUGGAGUCAGAGAAAGGACCUGAGAACAGGGGAGCAGGUGUUGGAGUGCGCUGUGUACGGCGGGGUCAGAAGUCUUACGCGUGACGGCGAGGAGGCAGUGGCUAUAAAGGUGAAAGCUGGGGCCGAUAAGGGAAGGGGUUUCGGGGCAGAUGAUUAGAGGAAAAUCGAGAUUUACUUGGGGGGCGGGGGAGGGUGGGGGGGGGAGCUUUCAUUUCAUUCGAUGUUGGACUUGUCGGACUUUACGAUUUCUGGGUAAGGGAUUCAGAGAGAACGAAGGCCGAGGAUUGAGGUGGAUUUCGUCCUCUCUGGUCGGAGCCAAAAACAAGAAAGGGGUUCUUUGAGGGUUUCUGUGUAAGAAGACCGCUGAAAAGAGGGCUCGUCUUCUUCUGGGUCUUCUCUGUUCUGGAGAUUUAAGGUUUUGGGCUUCUUUUGGAUUCUAAUCCUUGAAGGGAGAUUGAGCAAACGAUUAGAAGAAGCUAGGAAUAUGAUAAAACAUCUAAGAUUUUUCUUGAGAAUGGUUAGAAUGCGGAAGGAUGCUUGAACAUAAAUGUGUAGUGAACUUCUGCGCGUUGAUUGCUUAAGGAUGCUUGAACAGGCUUGAUACUAUGAGAACUUUUGCACGUCGAUUGCUUGCUACUAUGAGAACUUUUUCACUUAUCUUAUAUUGCCGCUAGACCUAAUUACUUUUGUUCUUCUUUUCUAGGGAUUAUAACCACCAAAUGGUAAAGAAAGGCUACAGGAAAUACGUUGAGCUAUAUUCUGGUUGUUCCAUAUUCUUCCUUCAGCAAGUGCCGAUGAUUGCUGGUUCAAGAGUUGUCACGUACGGAUGGCGCGAAGACACGACUCUAAAUAUGGUCCUCAAUAAAAUUGCCUUACACAGGCUAUAUCCUGGUUGUGCUAUAUUCCUUAUUCAACAAGUGCUGAUGAUUGUUGGUUCAAGAGGGCUAUAUCCUGGUUAUAUCAUAUUCUUCAUUCAGCAAGUGCUGAUGAUUGCUGGUUCAAGAGGAAUCAUUAUUCCCAUUAUGUUGAUUCUACUGCAGUCCCCAGAAAGUCUUUCCUAUUGGAAGUGCGUUGGAAAUAGUGAGAGGUUUCAAGUAGUAGAAGCUGCAUUUUGAUCGUUUCUUUUGUGGUGACUCAUUCCCAAACAAGAUAUGCCUUUACACGUUCGUUCCAACAAUUACAUUCUCUAGUCUCUUGGUCUUGGGCCUGAAGAAAAAAUGUUUUUAUCUCUUAAAAUAAAUGUGUCUUGAAGCCUCAUUUAAUUACGAGUUAUCUUCUCUUGUUGCAAAAAUAAAAAAGGGGCUCCUAGUUAUGUCAUAUUCUUCAUUUAACAAGUGCUGAUGAUUGCUGGUUCAAGAGGUAUGCAAUAUCUUCUAUAUUUUAUACAUUUUGGUGGUUGAUUCAGAUUAUAUCAUAUUCUUAUUUUGUCCCAUGAUUUUUGCUGCUUUUUGAGUUGUCACCUAUGAAUGGUGCGAAGACACGACUCCAAAUUUGGUCCUCAAUAAAAUUGUCCUACACAGUUAUGGUUCUAAAGUGUUCAUUUGUUGGCUUUACGGUAUUUUUUUUAAUUGAUUACCUCUUGCUCGCUGACUUCUAAGCACUCAUAAUGUAAGUCCUCCUAGCUUUUUAUUUGUUUGAUUUCUUUUUAUUAUUUAUCCAAAGCUGAAGUUCAACAUUUUUAAAGGUUUUAAUACUUUUACUAUUGUAUGAAACAUGUGUUAGUGUGAAUCAAAACUUUGCCUCUUACAUGCGUGUGUUUUAUAUAGGAACCAUUUUUCCCAUUAUGUUAAUUCUACUUUCCUAUAUAAUCCCCAGAAAAUCUUUCUUAUUUGAAGUGCGUUGGGAAGAGUAAGAGCUUUCAAGUAGUAGAGGCUGCGUUUUGAUAGUUUCUUUUAUGGUGACUCAUUGCCAAACAAGAUAUGCCUUUACACUUUCGUUCCAACAGGUAGAUUCUCUAGUCUCAUAGUUUUGGACCUAAAGAAAAAAUAUUUUUAUCUCUUAAAAUAAAAGUGUCUUGAAGCCUCAUUUAAUUACGAACUUUCUUCUCUUGGUGCAAAAAUAAAAAUUGUAAGGUUUCUCUUAAUUUGAAGUAUAAGAACCUUUGGUCAUUGCACACAGAGAGUACAUUGUACCUAAGUUUCUAAUCCAAAUUAUAAGAGUUUUAUCAAACAUUAAGAAUGUCUCAAUCCCAAAUAAGGCUGCCUCAUUUUAUUAUUUUGAAAAACUAAAGUUUUUUCAUCUUUUGGUGCAAAAACAUGAGCUGUUUGGUGUUAAAAGUGUCUUAAUCUGAAAGUUUGAAUGCUUAAUUCAUUGUUUUGUUAAUUGAAGUGUCUUGAUUUAUUAUUUCAUAAUAAAUGUGUAUCACCUCUCUUAGCAAACUCCUUCAUAAUUCUGAUUGAAACCCAUAUUAAAACCAUUGGAUCAUGAGUCUUAUUUCUCUUGCACGAUGGAAGACUAUCAUGAAUCUCCUCUUCCGAUGAUUGCUAUAUCCUGAUUAUGCCAUAUUCUUCAUUCAGCAAGUGCGGUUGAUUGCUGGUUCAAGAUGUAUGCAAUAUCUACUAUGUUUAAUACAUUUUGGUGGUUGAUUAAAAUUAUAUCAUAUUCUUUUUUUGUCCCAUAAUUUUUGCUGCCUUUUGAGUUGUCACCUACGGAUGACACAAAAACACAAUUCCAAAUAUGUCCUCAAUAAAAUUGGCGGACAUAGUUAUGGUUUUAAAGUAUUCA